AGUUGUAGGCAAAUAAACAAAAUUGUCAAGCAAAAAAAAUUUAAUUGUGGAUUGCUACGAUUUUUUGCUGGAACUUGUUAAUAAUUUUGUUUAAAAUAUUUUCUUCUGUUUGCUAAUUGAUGAACCUUUUUAAAUAAAACAAAACCAUUCAUUAUGAUAACGGAGGCUGAAAAUAAAAAUACGUACAGUCGCUGAGCAAACACAUUGAUUCUGUCUGCAGACUCUGUAUAUUUUGUAACAAAAAAUCCCCUAAUUACAGUGUUUAGUCCCACGUCACCUUUUCAUACAACCCUAGGGCUGUAUACCUUGUAGUAUUUAUCUUAGGUUCAAAACUUCACUAUUCCUUGUAAAAUAACAGUUUGAAAGUACUGACAGUCUUCAUAUCUUGUUGAAAACAA